GGGGGUGACUGGCUUCGAUAAGGGAAUCGACAUAUGUGUGUGCGGGCAGAGCUGUAGUUGCUCUUUAAUCCGCUACACAAAUUCAAGUGCGAACAAAGCACAGGGGGUUCUUUCCCCCAUCCAGCCCGCUUACGCUUUUGCCUAAGCGGCCGUUCGUAACGCCGACGCUUGAAUAAGCGUUAUUGGACGUCACUUCUUUCAAGCACUGAUGUCGUUUGCUCGAGCUUCAUCUAAGACUAGAGCUCGGCUUUGCGCGAUUCUGAAUGUCUCAUACGCGCAUUGCUUAAACUUCAAGAUGUUCUACGCCUUGUAGAAUCACACAUACUGUUUUUCCUUGGACCGGGGUUCAAUUCCCCGCACCUCCACAA
rnacentral:tmRNA from 1 species